rnacentral:lncRNA from 1 species
GUUUCUAAAUGCUUUUUUUGAAGAUGAUACUUAACUGUACUAUAUUUUCAGUUGAAUUUUCCAAAUCAUUUAGUAAACCUUCAGACUUCAUUGUAUUAUAUUUUAUUUGUAUUUUCCAGUGGCAGAUUCAGAAAUGUUGAUUAGAGGGGGCCCGCAUCAGUGAUUUCCUAUAUAUUCAACCAAAAUAUAAAGGUGGGUUGGGACCCCUGCCCCCCCCUAAAUCCGCCUCUGUUUCCUAAAUAACUAAACUAAUGAUUACAUUUCAUUGUAUUAUACUUUACUUGUAUUUUCCAAAGGAUCAAUUUAAUGUACACAGUUCAUUGUUUUAAAUUUUAUUUGUAUUUGUAUUUUUGUGCCAGUGACAUAUCCAGAAAUGUUGAUAAGAGGGGGCCCGCUUCAGUCAUGCUUCAGUGAUUUCAUAUAUAUUCAACCAAAAUAUUGCCAACAAAAGGUGAGGUGGGACCACUGCCCCCCCUUCCCCCCUAAUCCGCCUCUGUUUCCCAAAUGAUCAAACUAAUGUUUACAUUUCAUUGUAUU